rnacentral:rRNA from 1 species
UACGUAGGGUGCAAGCGUUAAUCGGAAUUACUGGGCGUAAAGCGUGCGCAGGCGGCUUUGCAAGACAGAUGUGAAAUCCCCGGGCUUAACUUGGGAACUGCAUUUGUGACUGCAUGGCUGGAGUGCGGCAGAGGGGGAUGGAAUUCCGCGUGUAGCAGUGAAAUGCGUAGAGAUGUGGAGGAACACCGAUGGCGAAGGCAGCCCCCUGGGCUAACACUGACGCUCAUGCACGAAAGCGUGGGGAGCAAACAGG